AGGGGGCACACGGAGUUGAACCAUGGACCUAUCGAUCUGCAGUCGAUUGCUCUACCACUGAGCUAUACCCCA
rnacentral:tRNA from 1 species